UACGGAGGGGGCUAGCGUUGUUCGGAAUUACUGGGCGUAAAGCGCGCGUAGGCGGCUUAGCAAGUUAGAGGUGAAAGCCCGAAGCUCAACUUCGGAAUUGCCUUUAAAACUGCAAAGCUAGAAUCAUGGAGAGGUGAGUGGAAUUCCGAGUGUAGAGGUGAAAUUCGUAGAUAUUCGGAAGAACACCAGUGGCGAAGGCGACUCACUGGACAUGUAUUGACGCUGAGGUGCGCAAGCGUGGGGAGCAAACAGG
rnacentral:rRNA from 1 species